ACUUAAAUUGAAGAGUUUGAUCAUGGCUCAGAUUGAACGCUGGCGGCAGGCCUAACACAUGCAAGUCGAGCGGUAGCACAGAGAGCUUGCUCUCGGGUGACGAGCGGCGGACGGGUGAGUAAUGUCUGGGAAACUGCCUGAUGGAGGGGGAUAACUACUGGAAACGGUAGCUAAUACCGCAUAACGUCGCAAGACCAAAGUGGGGGACCUUCGGGCCUCAUGCCAUCAGAUGUGCCCAGAUGGGAUUAGCUAGUAGGUGGGGUAACGGCUCACCUAGGCGACGAUCCCUAGCUGGUCUGAGAGGAUGACCAGCC
rnacentral:rRNA from 1 species